rnacentral:rRNA from 1 species
UACGAAGGGGGCUAGCGUUGCUCGGAAUCACUGGGCGUAAAGGGUGCGUAGGCGGGUUAUUAAGUCAGUGGUGAAAGCCUGCAGCUUAACUGCAGAAUUGCCAUUGAUACUGAUGAUCUUGAGUAUGAUUGAGGUGGGCGGAAUGUGUCAUGUAGCGGUGAAAUGCUUAGAUAUGACACAGAACACCGAUUGCGAAGGCAGCUCACUAAGUCAUAACUGACGCUGAUGCACGAAAGCGUGGGGAGCAAACAGG